CCAGACGAAGGUAGUGAUGGUAUUCUGCAGCCGUCUCAGGUAUGUGUUUGGUAGGGGGGUCUGUAGAGUUCUAAUUAGGUAUUGAAAUUUUGGUAGGAGCAUCAUCUUCACUGCCGCCAGUCUCCCCACCCAUGACAUAUAUUUAUCUUCCCAUUUCUUCAGUGUGUCGCCUAUUUCCCCCUGUAGUUUGCCAUAAUUAAGGUCCAUAAGACCUUGUGGAGUUUUCGGAAUCCGUAGACCCAGAAACGUGAGGUGGUCAUCUCUCCAGUCCAGUGGGAAUGAGAGUUUUAGGUGUUCUAUGGUAUGAUGUUGUAUCCCUAUCCCCAUAGCUUGGGUUUUCAUGACAUUAAGUUUGUAGUAUAAUUGCUCCCCAUAUCUUUCUAUUUCCUGCAGGAGAUUUGGUAGUGAUAUGUGCGGUUGUGUAAGUGUGAGUAGUAUGUCAUCUGCAAACAAGUUUGUUUUGUACUCUCUAGCUCCUAUCUCCAGACCGUGUAUCGCAGUGUUUUCCCGUAUUUUGAUCGCCAGCGGCUCCAGCGCCAAGACAUAUAACAGGGGGCAGCCCUGCCUUGUGCCAUUUGUGAGUUGGAAUGGUUCGGACAGAAAAUCCUGCGUUGAGUACUCUUGCUGAGGGCUUGCUAUAUAUGGCCUGUACCACUGACACAAACCCCAAGGGGAUCUCGAACUUGUUAAGCACUGCUCUAAGAAACCCCCAGUGGAGGCGGUCAAAGGCUUUUUCGGCGUCGAGGGAGACCAUCAGUCCCCCCCGAUGCCGAUUUUUCAGGUGGUGGAGGAUGUUAAUGACCUUCCUGGUAUUGUCUGCCCCCUGUCUUCCCUUGAUGAAGCCCACCUGGUCAUUGUGAAUUAUGUGUGGUAGUAUG